CACCGCGGUUAUACGAGUAACCCUUAUUAAUACUUACCCGGCGUAAAGAGUGGUUUAAGGAGAGAUCUUUAAAUAAUUAAAGUUAAGACCCCAUCAAGCUGUUAUACGCUCUUAUGGGUGGAAUUAUCAACAACGAAAGUAACUUUAUUACACUAGACUUCUUGAUGCCACGAUAGUUGGGCCC
rnacentral:rRNA from 1 species